ACUCUUAAAAAAAAUGAGAAGCUAGCUAUCCAGUGCCCACAGAGACUUACGUAGACUUUCAGAAAGUACCUUGUUUUUCAUAAAUAUUUAAGAAAUAUAUUUCAAGAUGCUACUUACUGGCUUACUUUCUGUGAGAAGGGACAACAAAAGCCACAUGCUUCUUUGCUCCUUCAGGUAAAUGGCAUUUCUCACUUCUGACCUUUGCUACGGUUGGAAAUCUGUUUCAUCUUUCCCAAAUGGUGGUUUUCCUGUGUAGAGCAGUGAGGUUUUGCAGUAAUGAAUUAAAUAUGUAAGUGUGUGUGUGUGUACACACAUGUUUAUGUAUUUAAAAAGGAGCUGGAGGAAACGGCCGUUCACAAACUGUCUCAAAUAUUGUUACUGUACUCUGGGAGGCAGGUGUGCAGAAGAGUAAUCAGUAGUUAGCUAUUUAUAUCCUGCGUGCUCUAAUCUGUUCCAUAUCUUUAUAAAAGCUUUCAUAUCACACCUUCAUAUACAUCACUAAAGCCAUAUAAUAGACACUAACCUCUAGCAAUGAGAAAAUAAACCUAGAUUAUCACCAGCAGACCAAGCGACAUAAACCAAAUUGAAGUAAUUACCUCUGAAUGAUCUCAACAGAGUGACUGAAAAUUAAGUCUGAGCUGCCCUCUGUGCUCUACAGGAGACAGGGCACUGUGGGAGCACACAGCUCCCGCCGAUGCUAUCAGCAAAGGCCUGCCGAGCUCUCUCGUCACCUCCGCAACACUUCACUCCUUGCAAAUUCUCUGUCUACUUCUAAAAUGCAUUUAGCUACUGUACUGGUAUUCUAGCAAGGUAAACAUAUUUGCCUUUGGAAAGUUGUAUGUCCUUGCUCUUUCACUAAGAUGGUGAGGGUCUUUAAAUACUUUUUCACUUUUGUAUCAACAGAAUAUUUUAGAGACAUGAACAUUAGUUUCACCUGCUGCCUUACAGAGGAUGGAGACAAAAACUCCAAGGUUUUCCUCCCUAUCCUAAGGACUGAGAAUUUGACAGCCAGGACGCCGCAUGCGGCAGCACUGAGGUCCCUGCCCCUCUGUGGCUCCAUUGGCAUAAUAAAGAAGGAAGAUCUUUGUGAUGUAAACCUCCCUGCACUAAUGUAGAUUUCCUCGCACCAUUGUACAUGUGGCAUUUAAACUGGCCGUGUCCACUAGAGACUUUUCAAGCCUGUUGGCUCAUACCACACCUGGAAAUGGAAAUGCUUUUAAUUUCUGCAGUGCCACAGCUGUUCUAUUUUAAAUGGACCAGCCUUAAAACGGCUACACCUGGUGGAGCCUGGCACAUGGAACAUGGCUGUUGAAGAGGCUGAAACUUUUAAUGCAUUGUGAUAAGCAGAAACUAAAUACCAUGAAAUAAAACGUGGUCAAGAAGUACUUGCUCUUUUUUA
rnacentral:lncRNA from 1 species